CCUACGGGAGGCAGCAGUAGGGAAUUUUGCGCAAUGGGCGAAAGCCUGACGCAGCAACGCCGCGUGAUCGAGACGCCCUUCGGGGUGUAAAGAUCUGUCAGUGGGGACGAAACUUGACGGUACCCACCGAGGAAGCACCGGCCAAAUCCGUGCCAGCAGCCGUGGUAACACGGGGGGGGCAAGCGUUGUACGGAAUCAUCGGGCGUUAAGAGUUCGUAGGCGGGACGUAAAGUCUGGUGUUAAAGGCAGAGGCUCAACUUCUGUACGGGACUGGAUACUCGCGAGCUAGAAUGCGGUUGAGGUAAUGGGAAUUGCUGGUGUAGCGGGUAAAUGCU
rnacentral:rRNA from 1 species